ACUCAAAGGAAUAGACGGGGGCCCGCACAAGCGGUGGAUCAUGUGGUUUAAUUCGAAGCAACGCGAAGAACCUUACCUGGGUUUGACAUCCCCUGACAGUUGUAGAAAUACAAUCUCUGUAGCAAUACAGCAGGGAGACAGGUGCUGCAUGGCUGUCGUCAGCUCGUGUGGUGACAUGUUGGGUUAAGUCCCGCAACGAGCGCAACCCUUGUCUUUAGUUGCCAGCAUUAAGUUGGGCUCUCUAAAGAGACUGCCGUGGUUAACACGGAGGAAGGUGGGGAUGACGUCAAGUCCUCAUGGCCUUUAUAUCCAGGGCGACACACGUGAUACAAUGGACGGUACAGAGAGACGCAAAAGGGCGACCUCGAGCAAAUCUCAAAAAGCCGUUCUCAGUUCGGAUUGGAGUCUGCAACUCGACUCCAUGAAGGUGGAAUCGCUAGUAAUCGCGGAUCAGCACGCCGCGGUGAAUAUGUUCCCGGGCCUUGUACACACCGCCCGU
rnacentral:rRNA from 1 species